UACGUAGGGUGCGAGCGUUGUCCGGAAUUACUGGGCGUAAAGAGCUCGUGAGGUGGUUUGUCGUCGUUGUCCGUGAAAACUCAACACUCAAUUGUGGGCGUGCGGGCGAUACGGGCAGACUGGAGUACUGCAGGGGGAGACUGGAAAUUCCCUGGUGUAGCGGUGGAAUGCGCAGAUAGUCAGGAGGAACACCGGUGGCGAAGGCGGGUCUCUGGGCAGUAACUGACGCUGAGGGAGCGAAAGCGUGGGGAGCGAACAGG
rnacentral:rRNA from 1 species